GAUGAACGCUGGCGGCGUGCCUAAUACAUGCAAGUCGAGCGAACGGACGAGAAGCUUGCUUCUCUGAUGUUAGCGGCGGACGGGUGAGUAACACGUGGAUAACCUACCUAUAAGACUGGGAUAACUUCGGGAAACCGGAGCUAAUACCGGAUGAUACUUUGAACCGCAUGGUUCAAAAGUGAAAGACGGUCUUGCUGUCACUUAUAGAUGGAUCCGCGCUGCAUUAGCUAGUUGGUAAGGUAACGGCUUACCAAGGCAACGAUGCAUAGCCGACCUGAGAGGGUGAUCGGCCACACUGGAACUGAGACACGGUCCAGACUCCUAAGGGAGGCAGCAGUAGGGAAUCUUCCGCAAUGGGCGAAAGCCUGACGGAGCAACGCCGCGUGAGUGAUGAAGGUCUUCGGAUCGUAAAACUCUGUUAUUAGGGAAGAACAUAUGUGUAAGUAACUGUGCACAUCUUGACGGUACCUAAUCAGAAAGCCACGGCUAACUACGUG
rnacentral:rRNA from 1 species